rnacentral:snoRNA from 1 species
UUGUCCUGGCUCAGCUGUAACAGGACACAGAGCAAUUUCCCUCCCAGUUUAGGAGGGCAGUCCUGAGAAUAGGGCUAACUCUUAAAGGCACAAGAGGACAGU